AACGGCCAUAUCACGUUGAAACAACAGUUCCUGUACGAUCACCGAAAUUAAGCAACGCCGAGCCUGCUCAGUACCUAGAUAGGUGACCGCUUGGAAAUAACGCGCUGU